rnacentral:sRNA from 1 species
GUCACCUAGCCAACUGACGUUGUUAGUGAAUUUCUUGUUCACACAUUAUAUCGGCCAAUCGCUCUAUUGCGAUUGGCCAUUUUUUU